CUCUUCUCAGUCUCUCUUCUUUGUUUUCUCUCUUCUCAGUCUCUUCUCAGUCUCUCUUUUCGACUAUAUCCUCAGUCACACGAUGCCUAAUCGAGGAAAAAAGAGAAAACUUGAUCGUAAUGUUUCUCAGAUUCCCGGAGGGUCAAGAGUACGACCGACAAAUCUUUCCAGUCAAUACGACUUCACGCCGGCAGUCCAAGCUCCUCCUCCGCGGCAGAUACCUGAAGAAGUCCCUAUUUUGCCUCGACAACCAACGCAAUCCCAGAUCCGGGACUAUCCUCCGCCUCAACAACUAUUUCAGGGCUCCUCUAGUCGCCAACCUCAACCUCCAGUACGCCGGUCUCCUUCAGAAGAAGUUAACUACAAUCCAGCGACUCAUGCAAAUCUUCAAGAUGACUCACCACCUUCUCCAGUCCAACGGUCUCAGUCUCGUAGUCAUCCAUCUCAAGUUCAACGCUCUCAGACUCGUAGUCAUCCAUCAUCUCAAGGCAACAACUUGGAAGAAGAAACUGAUGCGGCGUUGCCGGAACUCCAGGAGGACGUGGCUCGGGCUCUAAAUGCCCUGCUUCUGGUGCCAAACAGGGAUCAGUUCACCACGGUCCUCUCUCCCACACCCUUACCGAACACCCAAUGGUUUACUCGUGACAAAGGAUCGAAACUUGUUCGGAAGAUUACUAAAAUUCUUCUAAACAAGCUGGGACACUGAAGAAGCACAACAAAAGAGUAAAACCUACUCUGAUGCCCGUAUGUCUGACCGUAACGGCCUAGGUCCUCAUGUCCACCUCUCAGGGCCAAAGUCGUAUCGAGAGCUUCAAGAUGAAAUGGAACAUGAAUUGGGAAGAGAAGUCCGACUUGGUGAGGUUUUUAUCAAGGCACAUACAAAGCCCGAUGGUACAUAUGUUGAUCGGAAGGCAUAAAAGAUUGCAGAAACAUAUGAGAAGACUGUUCAAGACAGGUUGUCUCAGCUCGAAGCAGAGUCUACUGCUGUGUCAGAUGGAGAAUCACGGCCACGGGACCUCACAACAGAAGAAUAUACAGAAAUUUUCCUUCAGUCCACUGAGAAGGAUUCAAGAGGAACACCUUAUGGAGUUGGAAGCCUCAAGGACUGCCUUAUCAAUGGAAAGCAUAAGCAAGCAAGUGGCUCUUCUACCUUUGUGGCUCUCGAAGAACAGUUGAAGGAAGCUAAACGCAUGAUUGAAGAACAGGCUGCUCAACUGAAGCGGCGUGAUGAAGAAAUUGCUGCGCGUGAAGCUGAGCAAUCCAAAGUUAUUGCUGCCCAGAAGGACAAGAUUGACCAAUUUUCCAUCGUGGAGGAGUUUCUAAGGGAAUGUGAUCCGAGGUUUCAGUCCUUUGUUGCAAGCCAUUCACCUAAAGAGACAACCACAGAACCAACUCCAACUCCAUCAACAUCUGCUUAGUAGGUUUCUCUGUUUUAACUCCCUUUUGGAUGAACUCAAUAUCUCUCUCUUUUGGAUGAACUCAAUCUCUCUCUCUUUUGGUUGAACUCUAUCUCUCUCUUUU